rnacentral:sRNA from 1 species
UGAGAAUGUUGGAAUCCAGUGCAAAUUCAGUUUUCAGGUUUGUAGAAGAUUCUUAAGAUUUGUAAGUAGUAAAAUGGCAAAUAGGAGUUAAUGGUAGAAGAUUGUGUAUGUGUGUGUGUGCGCGCGCGUGCUUGCGUGUGCACAUGCACUAUAUACUUGGAUAAGGAUCCUCAG